rnacentral:rRNA from 1 species
AUUGAACGCUGGCGGCAGGCCUAACACAUGCAAGUCGAACGAGUGGCGGACGGGUGAGUAAUGUCUGGGAAACUGCCUGAUGGAGGGGGAUAACUACUGGCAACGGUAGCUAAUACCGCAUACCAUCAGAUGUGCCCAGAUGGGAUUAGAUUGUUGGUGGGGUAACGGCUCGCCAAGGCGACGAUCCCUAGCUGGUCUGAGCGGAGGACCAGCCACACUGGAACUGAGACACGGUCCAGGCGCCUACGGUAGGCAGCAGUGGGGAAUAUGGCACAAUGGGAGAAAGCCUGAUGCAGCCAUGCCGCGUGUAUUGAGGAGGCCUUCGGGUUGUGAAGUACUUUCAGCGGGGAGGCGUUACCCGCAGAAGAAGCACCGGCUAACUCCGUGCCAGCAGCCGCGGUAAUAC